CCUACGGGGGACAGCAGUGGGGAAUAUUGGGCAAUGGGCGCAAGCCUGACCCAGCAACGCCGCGUGAAGGAAGAAGGCUUUCGGGUUGUAAACUUCUUUUAAGAGGGAAGAGCAGAAGACGGUACCUCUUGAAUAAGCCACGGCUAACUACGGUCCAGAAAACGCGGUAAUACGUAGGUGGCAAGUGUUGUCCGGAUUUACUGGGUGUAAAGGGCGUGCAGCCGGGAAGACAAGUGCAGUGGUAAAUCCCGGGGCGCAACCCCGGAACUGCCUGUUAAACUGUUUUUCUUGAGUUCCGGAGAGGUUAUCGGAAUUCCUGGUGUAGAGGGGAAAAGCGGAGAUAGAAGGUAGAACAACCGGGGGGAAGGGGGAUGAAUGGACCGGGACUGAAGGGGAGGCGCGAAAGCCUGGGGAGCAAACAGGAUUAGAUACCCGAGUAGUC
rnacentral:rRNA from 1 species